AUAUAUUUAGCUGGGGUGGGUGGAAGUUAGUGGGGGAUUUGGUGUUAGGCUAGCUAGGCGUUAACGUUGAAAAAGAUUUAAAAAGUUUUUAAAAAAAUGUUUUAAUAACAUUUAAAAAAAAUUCCACCCCCCCCCCCUUUACUCAGUCCAAAUAAAAAUUAACCUCUUCCCUGCCAGUUGAUCACUGCCUGCAGUGAUCAAAAUACAGAUCAUAGUAUUAUACUGUGAUCUAAUUUUUUUUAACGCCUUAGGAUUAACUUUUAUUUAUUUUUUAACCCUCAGGGGUUCAAUUUAAUUCAUUAAUUAAUUUAAAUAUUUUAAAAUCAUAUAUUUUGCUAGUUGGGG